GCUUGCUCCCUGAUGUUAGCGGCGGACGGGUGAGUAACACGUGGGUAACCUGCCUGUAAGACUGGGAUAACUCCGGGAAACCGGGGCUAAUACCGGAUGGUUGUUUGAACCGCAUGGUUCAAACAUAAAAGGUGGCUUCGGCUACCACUUACAGAUGGACCCGCGGCGCAUUAGCUAGUUGGUGAGGUAACGGCUCACCAAGGCGACGAUGCGUAGCCGACCUGAGAGGGUGAUCGGCCACACUGGGACUGAGACACGGCCCAGACUCCUACGGGAGGCAGCAGUAGGGAAUCUUCCGCAAUGGACGAAAGUCUGACGGAGCAACGCCGCGUGAGUGAUGAAGGUUUUCGGAUCGUAAAGCUCUGUUGUUAGGGAAGAACAAGUACCGUUCGAAUAGGGCGGUACCUUGACGGUACCUAACCAGAAAGCCACGGCUAACUACGUGCCAGCAGCCGCGGUAAUACGUAGGUGGCAAGCGUUGUCCGGAAUUAUUGGGCGUAAAGGGCUCGCAGGCGGUUUCUUAAGUCUGAUGUGAAAGCCCCCGGCUCAACCGGGGAGGGUCAUUGGAAACUGGGGAACUUGAGUGCAGAAGAGGAGAGUGGAAUUCCACGUGUAGCGGU
rnacentral:rRNA from 2 species